GAUAAACGCUGGCGGCGUGCCUGAGGCAUGCAAGUCGAACGAAGGAUCGGGCUUGCUCGAUCCUUAGUGGCGGACGGCUGAGUAACGCGUAGGUGACCUACCCCGAAGUGGGGAAUAACUGCCCGAAAGGGUGGCUAAUACCGCAUGUGGUCGCACGUUCAUUCGUGCGAGUAAAGCCGCAAGGCGCUUCGGGAGGGGCCUGCGUCCGAUUAGCUCGUUGGUGGGGUAAUGGCUUACCAAGGCGACGAUCGGUAGGUGGUCUGAGAGGACGAUCACCCAGACUGGGACUGAGACACGGCCCAGACUCCUACGGGAGGCAGCAGUCGGGAAUUUUGCUCAAUGGGGGAAACCCUGAAGCAGCAACGCCGCGUGAGGGAUGAAGGCCUUCGGGUUGUAAACCUCUUUUGUCAGGGACGAUGAUGACGGUACCUGGCGAAUAAGCCACGGCUAACUACGUG
rnacentral:rRNA from 1 species